rnacentral:rRNA from 1 species
UACGUAGGGGGCAAGCGUUGUCCGGAUUUAUUGGGCGUAAAGAGCGUGUAGGCGGCCAGGUAGGUCUGCUGUGAAAACUCGAGGCUUAACCUCGAGCUGUCGGCGGAAACCAUCUGGCUAGAGUCCGGAAGAGGAGAAUGGAAUUCCCGGUGUAGCGGUGAAAUGCGCAGAUAUCGGGAAGAACACCCGUGGCGAAGGCGGUUCUCUGGGACGGUACUGACUCUGAGACGCGAAAGCGUGGGGAGCGAACAGG